rnacentral:lncRNA from 1 species
UUUUUUUUGCCACACCUGUGGCAUCCGGAGGUUCCCAGGCUAGGGGUCUAAUUGGAGCAGCAGCUACUGGCUUACACCACAGCUCAUGGUGACACCGGAUCCUUAACCCACUGAGUGAGCCCAGGGAUCGAACCUGAAUCUUCAUCGAUAGUAGUUGGGUUUGUUACUGCUGCGCCACGACAGGAACUCCAAAAUUAUCUAUUUUUUUUUAACACUCUUGAGAACAGUAGACAUAAGAACGGCUAAAGGAAUUAUAUCCGGAGGACAUGGCAUUUCCCAGUUACAGGAAUGAUCUUUCACUUUCCCCUCUGGGUAUAGGCAGGUUAAAAAUUAGGCCCAACAAAGGCAGGAACACCUUCCUGGGGUAAGGAGAAACGAGGCAGGUGAUGACAUUGUGGGCUAACGUAAUGGAUCUCUAGACCCCUGAACCCAAAGCUGAUUCUCUCUGCUUGCUGCUUUUUCCCCCUGUAGGACUUUUGUUGACUGUUUGGCGGUGACAGCAUAGAAGAAAAAAGUUUUGGCUGGAAAGCAAGAAGAGCUCUCUGCAGUCUCACAGUUCUUGAAUCUUGCAAGAGGGAAGAGAUUGCAACACAUCCAGGAACGAUCUCACCCUGAAGACACUUGAAAUAAGAGGUGAGGUAACAAAAGCCUAGGGCGAUUCGAUGCCUGACUGGUGGCAGAACCUAUUCUCAGAGGAGCCAUUACCGCUGCAAAACAGCCGGUUCAGUUUUCAUCCUUUCCCACGUGUUACCAGCCAGCAGCGAUGGAAUAAAGCGGCGCUGCUCUGAGGCGGCCACCGCAUUUGGAAUUCAAGGGACCGAACAAUAACAAUCAACAGGGACUCAGACCAUCUCCACAUCAAAGAGGGGAAGUUAGUCACAAGUGACAAUCCAGUGUUAAAUAAUUAAAUUGUUUUAGCGGUUAACUGUAAGUGAAUGUUGCUUUUAAUUGCACUUUAAUAAUGCCAUGCCCUUUAUAACCAAAAUUAAUGUUUUCUGUCGCUCUGUUUUUGAAGUAUGUGUCAGUUUAAUUAAACUAUUAAUGGUAGAUGGAUUUUAAGUACUUUAUGUUUUUCAUUCAAUUGUGUCUGUUCCGUAAGCAUAAGCAGGAAAAUGGAGCUGGUAAGGAGCAAGCCCACGUUCUGUCUGAUGCAUCACGCAUCUUCGGGUGAGACGGUGCAGACAGCCAUCUGUUUU